rnacentral:rRNA from 1 species
UACGUAGGGUGCGAGCGUUAAUCGGAAUUACUGGGCGUAAAGCGUGCGCAGGCGGUUUUGUAAGCCAGAUGUGAAAUCCCCGGGCUUAACCUGGGAAUGGCAUUUGGGACUGCAAAGCUUGAGUGCGGCAGAGGGGGAUGGAAUUCCGCGUGUAGCAGUGAAAUGCGUAGAUAUGCGGAGGAACACCGAUGGCGAAGGCAAUCCCCUGGGCCUGCACUGACGCUCAUGCACGAAAGCGUGGGGAGCAAACAGG